AAUUCGCCCUUAGAGUUUGAUCAUGGCUCAGAUUGAACGCUGGCGGCAGGCCUAACACAUGCAAGUCGAGCGGUAACACAGAGAGCUUGCUCUCGGGUGACGAGCGGCGGACGGGUGAGUAAUGUCUGGGAAACUGCCUGAUGGAGGGGGAUAACUACUGGAAACGGUAGCUAAUACCGCAUAACGUCGCAAGACCAAAGUGGGGGACCUUCGGGCCUCAUGCCAUCAGAUGUGCCCAGAUGGGAUUAGCUAGUAGGUGGGGUAAUGGCUCACCUAGGCGACGAUCCCUAGCUGGUCUGAGAGGAUGACCAGCCACACUGGAACUGAGACACGGUCCAGACUCCUACGGGAGGCAGCAGUGGGGAAUAUUGCACAAUGGGCGCAAGCCUGAUGCAGCCAUGCCGCGUGUAUGAAGAAGGCCUUCGGGUUGUAAAGUACUUUCAGCGAGGAGGAAGGCGUUAAGGUUAAUAACCUUGGCGAUUGACGUUACUCGCAGAAGAAGCACCGGCUAACUCCGUGCCAGCAGCCGCGGUAAUACGGAGGGUGCAAGCGUUAAUCGGAAUUACUGGGCGUAAAGCGCACGCAGGCGGUCUGUCAAGUCGGAUGUGAAAUCCCCGGGCUCAACCUGGGAACUGCAUUCGAAACUGGCAGGCUAGAGUCUUGUAGAGGGGGGGGUAGAAUUCCAGGUGUAGCG
rnacentral:rRNA from 1 species